AGUGAACGCUGGCGGUAGGCCUAACACAUGCAAGUCGAACGGCAGCACAGUAAGAGCUUGCUCUUACGGGUGGCGAGUGGCGGACGGGUGAGGAAUACAUCGGAAUCUACUUUUUCGUGGGGGAUAACGUAGGGAAACUUACGCUAAUACCGCAUACGACCUACGGGUGAAAGCAGGGGGUCUUCGGACCUUGCGCGAUUGAAUGAGCCGAUGUCGGAUUAGCUAGUUGGCGGGGUAAAGGCCCACCAAGGCGACGAUCCAUAGCUGGUCUGAGAGGAUGAUCAGCCACACUGGAACUGAGACACGGUCCAGACUCCUACGGGAGGCAGCAGUGGGGAAUAUUGGACAAUGGGCGCAAGCCUGAUCCAGCCAUACCGCGUGGGUGAAGAAGGCCUUCGGGUUGUAAAGCCCUUUUGUUGGGAAAGAAAAGCAGCAGGUUAAUACCCCGCUGUUCUGACGGUACCCAAAGAAUAAGCACCGGCUAACUUCGUG
rnacentral:rRNA from 1 species